rnacentral:rRNA from 1 species
AUUGAACGCUGGCGGCAUGCUUUACACAUGCAAGUCGAGCGGCAGCGCGGGGGCAACCCUGGCGGCGAGCGGCGAACGGGUGAGUAAUGCAUCGGAACGUGUCCCGUGGUGGGGAUAACCCGGCGAAAGCCGGGCUAAUACCGCAUAUGCUCUGAGGAGGAAAGUGGGGACCCGCAAGGGCCUCACGCCAUGGGAGCGGCCGAUGUCCGAUUAGCUUGGUUGGUGGGGUAANGGCUUACCAAGGCGACGAUCGGUAGCUGGUCUGAGAGGAUGAUCAGCCACACUGGGACUGAGACACGGCCCAGACUCCUACGGGAGCAGCAGUGGGAA